rnacentral:lncRNA from 1 species
GGUGGCCAAUCCAUGUAGGUUAGGUUGAAGAGUCAUCAAGGUGCUUGAAUAAUCAGCUCAAUCUGACCAAAUAAUGGUCUUCAACUGAUCACAUUUGACUGAUUGACUUUUUGCUACCGAACGAACCCCAGCUCUGGACUUUUCCAUCUGAGGAUGGCAUGAGCAUCCAACUUCUAACUAUGAUGGAUCAGUUCUCGACUUAUCGAUAUCAGUUUAGCACACCA